CUGGUGCGAGUGUGACGUUACCGACUGAAUGUCACGUCGUUGCUAACCAGGCAUUUGCUUAUUUGCCGUUUAAGAUGAACGUUGCGAUGAUCUAUGGGGUCGACCGAUGGGGCACGUGGUGUGCGCGUGCCGAAAUGACUAACAGAAUUUCAAAACGGAUUUGCCACGUCGCGUUCUUCCCAAUCACUGGGUCAGAUUUUGUGCUUCCUAUUUGGUUCUACAUUCCAUUCUACGCCAGUGCGUUUAGACCUUCAGUGAGACCUUUGCUCGGGAUCAACAUAAUUUAUCAAUCAGCAGGCUCAUGUUGCUCUUAAUGACUUCAAACACAAAAACGGUUCUUUAUCGGCCAUUUACGAACUAUGGACUUGCUUAAAAUCUGAAGGCUAGUGGAUGGCUAAUAGAAAAAUGCGCUUUAUUCAAAAUUGUUAACAAGAUUUUCUGUUUAGUCCUUUUUGAUAAUGGUUGCCCAAGUCAUAGAGUUCACCCGCGGAAAACGCAGACAUUUAGUUUUUAAGAUAAACUGUGUGAGCGCAUCGCGCAACAUAUCAUCUUUCAUGGAAAUACAACAAAAGUGGCACAAGCA